rnacentral:rRNA from 1 species
GACGAACGCUGGCGGCGUGCUUAACACAUGCAAGUCGAACGGAAAGGCCCUGCUUUUGUGGGGUGCUCGAGUGGCGAACGGGUGAGUAACACGUGAGUAACCUGCCCUUGACUUUGGGAUAACUUCAGGAAACUGGGGCUCAUACCGGAUAGGAGCUCCUGCUGCAUGGUGGGGGUUGGAAAGUUUCGGCGGUUGGGGAUGGACUCGCGGCUUAUCAGCUUGUUGGUGGGGUAGUGGCUUACCAAGGCUUUGACGGGUAGCCGGCCUGAGAGGGUGACCGGACACAUUGGGACUGGGAUACGGCCCAGACUCCUACGGGAGGCAGCAGUGGGGAAUAUUGCACAAUGGGCGGAAGCCUGAUGCAGCAACGCCGCGUGCGGGAUGACGUCCUUCGGGUUGUAAACCGCUUUCGCCUGUGACGAAGCGUGAGUGACGGUAAUGGGUAAAGAAGCACCGGCUAACUACGUG